rnacentral:rRNA from 1 species
AUGGCUCGGCGUGGAUCGCAAUUCUGGAAAGAUCUUAUUCGGGUCCACCCGCUUUUUCUUGAGCAUGUUAAAUUCAUUGUAGGAGAUGGUACCUCUAUUCGUUUUUGGCUUGAUCGAUGGUGUGGAGACUCACCUCUCUCUGUGAGCUUCCCUACUAUUUUUUCUUAUUGCACUAACCCGAAUAUCUCCAUCGUGGAGGUGUCGGCUAAUAAUUGGGACCUGGCCUUCCGUCGUUCCCUUUCGCCUGAAGAGUUGGAAGACUGGCAAAGACUCUCUGCCUUAUUCCCCACGCUCUCGGAGAUCCCAGAUUCGGUGGUUUGGCCUCUCACUACCUCUGGUCGCUCCUCGGUCAAAUCUCUAUAUUCUAAGCUUAUUGGUGGUUCCCCCACCAAUAGAUUCUCUAAUAUCUGGCAGGCCCGUGCGCCACCAAAGAUUAAGAUUUUCCUCUGGCAAGCUGUCAGAGGGCGCCUCCCUGUUGCCGAUCAAAUCCGUAAGAGGAAUGGCCCGGGCUCGGAGUUCUGCUCUCUCUGUGGUGCUUUGGAAAACACGAACCAUAUAUUCUUUCAUUGUGUGCUUGCUAAGCUUGUUUGGAGCUGCGUUAGAUCCUGGCUCCAGGUCACCUGGGACCCCUCUUCUUUUUCCGAACUAAGAGGCCUUGCUAACUCCAUGGCAGGCGUUACAAAGAGGGUUUUCUGGGUUGGUCUGGGUGCCAUUUGCUGGUCGUUAUGGACUACUAGGAACAAGUUUACAAUCGAACAUGUUUUUCCUGCUAAACCUGCUGACUGUUUAUUUAAAUCAUGUAUCUUCUUGCAGCAGUGGAGAUCAUUGACUAAGCCGGAGGACCGGGCUGCUCUGAAUCUUCUCAUAUCUAAAGUUCGGGCCUCUGCAUCGUCUCUAUCUGGGCAGGAUCAUGAUGUCUAG